UUUCAUUUCUAUGAGAUGGUUUUUUUAAAAAAGUUUUAUAUAGCCGAUUUUUCUUAGAUAUGGACCUAAAAACACCACCUGUCAUCCAGGGACUUUUUUCAUGAUCAAAGGAUUUGUUUUUCAUUUUUACAAAAGGAAAAUUCUUAUCAAUUGCUGCUUUUAAAUUAUUAUGAAAUUAUUUAUUAUUCAAAACAUUUCAAUCAACGUACAAUACUCCUGAGUUAACUCAUUCAUGCAUUUAUGUGUUGCGCUAUUUGAAUGAAAUGUUUAAUAUUCUCUUGUUUAAACUCGAAGAUAGAAUAUUGUACUGGGUUUUCCAACACUAUAAUAAUGCAUACCAUUUCGUGGUUCAUUAGUUAUAAACUAUGAGUAAAUCUCGCCAAGACUUAGGGUAGAUCAGAUAUUUUCCUACUAAUCUAUAGUCUUCAUUUUUUCCCUGGGAGCAUUCCCCCGGAUCCCCCUGACAAACUCACGCCUUCGACGUUCGCUAUAGGCCCCUUAAUCUAAAAAUAGCUCCGUAGUUGACCUCCAUCGGAAAUUCCACAAGCUUCCAUGGCUAGCAGGUGGUCGGUGCAAGCUCGUUCGUCACGGUUAAAAUGACCUUACACCUCCCCUAAAAAAUUUCCUGGGGACGGCCCUGCAUGUAAUGCACUCCAACGUUGUCUUUGCCAUUGUUGUCAUUGUUUCGCCUUCAGAACCUCUUCCACGAUACCAUUUCGUUUCUGUUCGUUAAUGAUAUUCUCAUAUUCUUGUAACAAUUCAGGCUCUUUGGUUAAUUUCUUCUGUAAUGACCGAAGUCUAUCACGG